UUAGCUAACCAUCUUCUAGCUAUAGCUGUGGUGAGCAUGGACUUUUGGCUUUUAUUUUAUGAACAUUUCUGGAGUCUACUUCCUGUGUGGGUUGUUUGCUGCUGUGUUUGCCUGUCUCCAGAGGCUUCUCCCUUCCCCCGCCCUGCACUGAGGCUGAGUGCGCACACCUGUGACUCAUCGGCAAUCAACGGGCUGUUAAGACUGCCACCGUCUCUAGCCUCAGUGCCAGAGUAUUCGCUUCUGCACGCAGUGUGUCUCCCUCCGUGCCUCUCAGCAGCCCACAGCCCAGCACUCUCACCUGGUUUCCUCACUCGGCACCUCGACUCCGGAUCUCCUCAGUUCUCUGCACAAUUCUGACACAAUAAACCUGUUAACCCUC